AGCUGUCCAAUGGCUCCUGGAGCCAGAGAGAUGGCACCCAGCAUGCUGCAGUCUAGCCUCUCCCACUGACCACCUGAGCCUGCUGAAGCUGGCUUAUAUAAGGCUUUGGAAAGAGAAAGGGCUUUGGUGACUCUCUGGAAAUCAGGAAAAACUGUUCCAAGAUGUGUGUUAGAGAAGACCAGCUUCCGCAGGAAUGAACCCAGAAAACAGUCUACAACUAUAUUUCCAGCACAGGGGCUGGCACACACUGAGUGCUGAACUGAACUGAACAGAUGCUGUAAGCAAGAAAGAGUCAAAUUUUGCAAGAUUUUACUGAGGAGGAAGGCACUACCUCAAAGCCAGCAAAAGAAGAGUUUCUAGAGAAAGGAGAGGAUUGAUGGGUUCACUGGUGCUCACUGGAAACUAUCAAAUUUGUAAUGUGAGCAUCCCAACAUGCAGAGGAACCAGAAGUUCAAUAUUUGAGCUGAUUAAGGAUCAAUCAGCCAGUUCCCUGGGCAGGGGAGAGACUCUGCUUCCACAUUAUCAGGGACUCAGAGAAGCUGGAUAAACGUCUCUGCUUUCUUUCCUCUGGUCCAUCCUGCUCCAGUAUCAGUGGAACUCCCAGCUAGAGGAAGAAUGUACUUCAUUUUUAACUCUGUACCAGUCUUGAGAUUUCCUUUGGCAAAAAGCAAAAACAAAAACACGACCACCACCAACACAAAACUCAGCAGAAUUAAGAUGUAAGUUUCAAGCCCAGACCUCAAGAGACCAUGCAUUUUUCUGCUCUUUCUCGUACCUCUGCUCAGGCUGCACUGAAGACAAUUCCUGCCAAACCUAAUUAGAAACUGCAUGAAACAGAGCCAAAUUAGUCCAAUUGUUCCAGCCAAAGCUCAAGACACAGUGAGCGCCCAGCCUCAAUCAGCAGAACCAGGUUCCCAGCCCACCCCGAGCUGGUCACAGGUGGCUGAGUUAUCUCUGCUGAGAUUAGAACUGCCCAGGUCACCACUCAACUCAGGGACAAUAACAAAUGCUCAGUGUUUUAAGCAACUGGAUUUUGGAAUGAUGAGUUACUUAUCAAUAACAAACUCACACAUCAUCUCUUACCUCUUUUCUGUGUAUCAGAGUAAAAUGGGAAAAAUGCUCUCAUAUAUUAUUUACAAUACAUACAAUAUAUUAUAGGUAAUGUCUAUCAUAUAAUAUAUCUAAAGAACAUAAUAAGCACUCAACAAAGUAUUCAUCCCUCCUUAUAUUAUCCUCUAAAAACUAUUUCUCAUUCUUGUGUUGAGUAAUUUAAAAAGCAAUGCCAUCGUUACCAAAGUAAAUGUAAGAUGUAGUUCUAGGCCUCAGCAUUCAGCCUAAAUCAUAGGCCCUAAAGAGUGGUGUGCAAUUCUGACAGCAGAAGACUUGCCUAAGCCCUAUUUUUAAGCUGGCUGCUUGUGAUGGAAACAUGGCCCGUAGAAAUGUGUGCAGAUAGACACGGGAAAUAAGCAAAUCUUUGAGAAAGCCUUAGCUGAGAUUAUUUUGCUCAUCUUGGAAUUAAAAAAAACAUCAUCACCCUUGCCAUGUGACUUGGCUCCUCCAUUUUCCCUCAGAAUAUGAUUAAUUGCUCUCUAAAUAAUAAAAGUCUUCCAGGAACAAUAGAAAAUAUCUACUAUGGAACAUUCAUAAAUAUUCAGCUGAAGCCUGGUGGGAAUGCUAGGCUCCCAUGAGAGCUCUGUGCUGACAUUGGAAGUCAGAAACCAACUCGGAGACAUAAAACUGUGCAGUAAAAAUAUUUACACAAAUGAGUUUGGGGUGAGUUGUCAGAGUGCCAUGUUCCUCUUUUGCCUGGACGUCGGGAAUUAAUUUGGACCUGAUGGUGAAGCUCAGGUCUGAAAUCAUAGCAGCUUUUUUAUAUCCAUGGACAGCUCACAUAAAUGUCAGGGGUGAGCAGAGUAGAAACACUUGGGCCACUACCAUAGUAGAGCCCAGGGCAUCAAAAUGUUGCUUUAUUUCCCUUUGAUUCCAUAGGUUCCAUCCAGCCUUCUAGAAAUCAUUUGGUGCCACCUACUAGAAACUAGGAAAAACAAACUAUUAGACUCAGGUCCCAUCUCCUCUCAAGGAAACUACAUGCCAAAAAGGAAUACAUAGGUAUUUGCAAUUCAACACAAGUGCCGGCAUGCUGAUCUGACCACAUGCUACUAGAGCAUAAGAAAAACAAAAGACUGCAGGGGUUGCAGGGGCGAUGGGGUCAGGUGGAUGACUGCACAGGAAAGGCUCUAUGUAAGAUGGGGCAUCUGAGUGGGUCUCAGAAGAGGUUAUAAAUUCUUGCAGGUGAGAAGAGAGUAAGGGAAUGCUACGCAUCUCUGGUGUGGUCUGGGAAACCAAGGGUGACAACGAUGUGGUUAGGGACAACGAGCUGGGAACAUCAGCCCUAAAUCUGGAAUGGAAAUUUGGGGAUCCAGAAAGAUGCAGUGAUCUUUCUCUCCAUUUCAUUUUUGGUUUAUUCUGGCUGAAGUUUUGCCAGGGGGAAAGGUUAUAAAGGGCAUUGGAAUGUUAGUCUGUCUGAAUCCUUCAGGAUUUGAAGGUAACAAAAGCAAGAACCAGCCCUGCAGGUCAUCGUGUGCCUGAAGAAAAUGACAGAUGGCCACACAGAGGCAACAGACAGCUUGGAACAGCACAUGUGCUCUCUUUCCUGCCCCUCUCAGCUCUGGAAAUAUUUCUGGGAACGCAGAAUGCCAGCCUAAUCCAUCUGGAAACCUUAGAUUAGGAAGAAAAAAAAAAACAAAACAGGAUCAUGUCUUAUUUCAACUUUCAAAUGUUUUGAGGAAAGUGCCAAGAGAAGGGGCAGAAAGAAGAGAAACAAAGAAGAGAAGUGAGAGGAGGAGAUGAAGAAGAAAGAGGAGACACAAUUAGUUGAACUAUGUUUAGCAGUAGAUUCACUCUAGAAGAUUCAUUCUGAUGGCUGAAACUUCCAGAACAUGGAUAACGUUUCAAGACACUGACAUGAUGGGGAAUAUUAAUUUGAAUGUGCUAUUUUCCUAUGAUAGCAUUUUAAGACUGUAAGUAUAAACAGCUACACAAACAAGCCCUUAUGUGGGUUCAGAUGUCCACAACAACAUAACUUUAUUUUUCUACCUGCAGCGCCACUUUUACUCAAGAGAAGAAAAUUAAAUUUUAAGUAAUUCAUAUUAAGCAAGCAAAUCAAGGAUUUUCAGCUGGUUUAGUGAUUCUCUCUCACCCUUUCUCCUCUGAGUUGGUGUAAGUUCUCCAGCACCAAAGCACUGAGAAGGAAAGUGCUGGGUUCUCAGUGCUCAGCAUCUGUCAUCAUUAGAGUUUAUUGAGAUUUCUCCUUAACUGCUGGACUCUGGUUGCUGGCACCUGGACCUUCUGGUGUGGCUUGAGCUAUCUGCCUCCAGCUGGUCCCCAAGGUUCUCUCUAUACUGGUCACUCUGCAUCUUCAUCAAAAGUCUCUUCUAAAACAUGAAAGCUGACACUUGACUCUUUUGUUUCUCUCUGUAUGUUUGAUGUAAUAACCCUACCAGACAACAUGAGCAUAGAUGCCCUUGCUGCCUGACUCAGGAAGUGGGUGGGAGGGGAACACGGGGCAUGGCACAGAACAGGACGUACUGAAAGCUGAAGCCUUUGGUUAAUCCUUUACAGUAUUAUUCUGAUACAUCCAAAGUAGCAUUUAUUUUUUUUUGAGGCGGAGUCUCGCUCUGUCACCCAGGCUGGAGUGCAGUGGCAUGAUCUCAGCUCACUGAAGCUCCACCUCCCAGGUUCAUGCCAUACUCCUGCCUCAGCCUCCCAAGUAGCUGGGACUACAGGCACCCGCCACCAUGCCUGGCUAAUUUUUUGUAUUUUUAGUAGAGAUGGGGUUACACUGUGUUAGCCAGGAUGGUCUCGAUCUCUUGACCUCAUGAUCUGCCCGCCUCAGCCUCCCAAAGUGCUGGGAUUACAGGUGUGAGCCACGGUGCCCAGCCCAUCCACAGUAUUUUUUUAAACAGGUUUUUCACCUCACCCUCUCUCAAUCCAUGUCAAAAAGCUCCCACUCCAAGUUCUUU
rnacentral:lncRNA from 1 species